ensembl:misc_RNA Metazoa_SRP Metazoan signal recognition particle RNA
GCUGGGUGUGGUGGUGCGCACCUGUAAUCCCAGCUACUUGGGAGGCUGAGACAGGAGAAUCACUUGAUUCUGGGAGAUGAGGGCUGCAGUGAGCCGAGAUCAGGCCACUGCACUUCGGCCUGGGUGACAGAGUGAGACUCCGUCUCAA